CGGACGAAACAGGGGUGCUUCGUGCGCUGGCAGUCGCUGCAGCGAGGCUGAGAGAGACCCUUCGCACCCGAUCCGGGUAAUACCGGCGCGGGAAGUUUUCGGGAAGUAUUU
rnacentral:ncRNA from 2 species